CCUACGGGAGGCAGCAGUGGGGGAUAUUGCACAAUGGGGGAAACCCUGAUGCAGCGACGCCGCGUGGGCGACGAAGUAUUUCGGUAUGUAAAGCCCUAUCAGCCGGGAAGAAGAAAUGACGGUACCUGCGUAAGAAGCACCGGCUAAAUACGUGCCAGCAGCCGCGGUAAUACGUAUGGUGCAAGCGUUAUCCGGCUUUACUGGGUGUAAAGGGAGCGCAGGCGGCACGGCAAGCCUGAUGGGAAAGCCCGCGGCCCAACCGCGGGACUGCAGUGGGAACUACCUGGCUUGAGUGCCGGAGAGGUAGGCGGAAUUCCUAGUGUAGCGGUGAAAUGCGUAGAUAUUAGGAGGAACACCAGUGGCGAAGGCGGCCUACGGGACGGUGACUGACGCUGAGGCUCGAAAGCGUGGGGAGCGAACAGGAUUAGAUACCCUUGUAGUC
rnacentral:rRNA from 1 species